rnacentral:rRNA from 1 species
UACGUAGGGGGCAAGCGUUGUCCGGAAUCAUUGGGCGUAAAGAGCGUGUAGGCGGCCAGAAAAGUCCGCUGUGAAAACUCGAGGCUCAACUUCGAGCUGUCGGUGGAAACUUUCUGGCUAGAGUCCGGAAGAGGAGAAUGGAAUUCCUGGUGUAGCGGUGAAAUGCGCAGAUAUCAGGAAGAACACCCGUGGCGAAGGCGGAUCUCUGGGCCGUAACUGACGCUGAGGAGCGAAAGCAUGGGGAGC